rnacentral:rRNA from 1 species
GGGAUCAUUACCGAGUUUACAACUCCCAAACCCAAUGUGAACGUUACCAAACUGUUGCCUCGGCGGGAUCUCUGCCCCGGGUGCGUCGCAGCCCCGGACCAAGGCGCCCGCCGGAGGACCAACCAAAACUCUUUUUGUAUACCCCCUCGCGGGUUUUUUAUAAUCUGAGCCUUCUCGGCGCCUCUCGUAGGCGUUUCGAAAAUGAAUCAAAACUUUCAACAACGGAUCUCUUGGUUCUGGCAUCGAUGAAGAACGCAGCGAAAUGCGAUAAGUAAUGUGAAUUGCAGAAUUCAGUGAAUCAUCGAAUCUUUGAACGCACAUUGCGCCCGCCAGUAUUCUGGCGGGCAUGCCUGUCCGAGCGUCAUUUCAACCCUCGAACCCCUCCGGGGGGUCGGCGUUGGGGAUCGGCCCUGCCUCUUGGCGGUGGCCGUCUCCGAAAUACAGUGGCGGUCUCGCCGCAGCCUCUCCUGCGCAGUAGUUUGCACACUCGCAUCGGGAGCGCGGCGCGUCCACAGCCGUUAAACACCCAACUUCUGAAAUGUUGACCUCGGAUCAGGUAGGAAUACCCGCUGAACUUAAGCAUAUCAAUAAG